UUGUUCUGGCCAGAAAUCUUCUGAACUCAGUCUUGCGAAUCGCAUAGGACUACUCUUUUUCUAUCAAGAUCGAUAGAUUUUAUCUAGGUGCAUCCUACUCCAAACAGUAAAUUUGAACCUACAAUAGCCAACAUAUAUAGCAAGGAUCUGAAUGGAUAGGGAUCAAGAAAAUAUGUAGUCAAACUAAGUAGCCUUACUGCGAAUAGCCAACACACCAC
rnacentral:lncRNA from 1 species